UUAUGAUUUGGGCAAAUGGGUAUUAGUGUUCUAUUUUAUUUCUGUUUGAUGUGGCUUGCCUGGCUGUGUAGGACAAGGGAUGCACCAUGGUGGAACACGGAUCCCUAUGUGCUAAACUCCCACCCAAGGGGACAGGCAGUGUGCAGACUCCAACCCUUGUCCUGCUGCUGGUUGGCUCCCCAGGAACAGCCCCUGUGCCACCCUGGGUUCAGCACCAGUGCGUACGUCUUUGCUGGAGACCAGACCCUGCACGUGAAUGGGUUCAAAGCCAACUGGUAGCAGGGCUGCAGAACAGCUGGGCCCUGGGAUUUGGACACGUCUGGCCCUAUCAGGUGCCACCGGCAGCACAGGGACAUCAGCCCCAAUACUGACCACGGGUUCCUUAAGAUCUGCUGCAAAUGAGGGAGAAAAGGAAAGAUGCAAACAACCACGGAAUAUGGAAUUUACAUGCCAACAUAAAAGCCUCGCACUCCCAAGCCUCUCCUGUGCUUCCCAGUAGCCAAAAAGAAAAAGGAAGAGUGCAAACAGUUAAAGACCUGGUGCUUCAUAACACGCCGGGGGGACAGUUCCUACUCUUACCUAUUUGAACCACAGCUGUCUAAACUCACUGCUCGUCCACUUGGUGUGUUCACAUGGAAGCAACUGACAGUGCCCACCGGGAGGACGUGAGCCCAUCUCCGUGCCGGUUGGUUACACUACGUCCCGGGGCUACCGAGUAUCACCCUGUGCAGCGACAGUUUCACCCAUUAGUAUGGAGCCAGCUAUACACACUGCAUAUGUACAGGCAUAUACAACUUUGAGGCAGUGUUUC
rnacentral:lncRNA from 1 species